rnacentral:lncRNA from 1 species
AUGACAAGCAUCCCUAAGCUGAUAGCAUGAUAAGGAGCUUUUGGGCUUCUUAAUUUCCAUCAGCUUUGUGAGGGAAAAAAGAGCACAUGAAGAAGAGCAACUGAAGCAGACCAAAGAGAGGAAAUUAGCCAGAAGACUCAUGUGCCUAUUUUAAACGGUGUGAACUGAUCCGCAGUCCCGCUCGUGCCGCUGCCCAGCUGAACGGGGUGCACCACCUCUGCCUCGCCAUACGCCAGCCCUACCCGGGUCUCCAGGAAGGCUGGAGCGGAACCCUCGGCUCCCGCGCUGCUC